rnacentral:lncRNA from 1 species
UCCCAGAGCCCCUCCCCAGCUCUCCAGCCUUUGCCCAGCCCUCGCCCUGACCCCGUUGUUUUCGCAGCUCCCGCUGUCCCCGUUCCGGCCCCUCCCUGCUCCAGGAGGCUCCCAGGGACGAUCCCGAGGCGCUGGAAAUUCCCAAAAUCCCGGGUCCUGUUCCACAUCCCCCGGAGCCGCCCCAGAGCUCCCCCCUGGGCCCCUCUCCGGGGUUCCCUGGGGGGUUCCAGCCCCGAAAUUCCGCGGCCCCGCAGCAGAGGGAGGAGGAGCCGGCGGCCGGGGCGCAGAGUGAAGGGUCAGAUUCCGUCAUUUUGCUGAAGGUCAAGGAUUCCAGGACUCCGGCUCCAAGCCUUCCCUUUUUCCAGGCCGAGCUAUGGAUCAAGGAGCUGACCAGCGUCUACGAUUCCCGAGCCAGAGAGAGGUGGAGGCAAAUCGAGGAGCAGAAAGCUCUGGCCCUGCAGCUCCAGAGCCAGGUGAGAAUUACAUGGAAAAAUGCACUGGCUUGGAAAAAAAAAAUUGGGGGAAAAAAGUGCAAGAACAAAAAAAAAAGCAGGUAAAAUCAAUUUUUAAAAAGCUUUUGUGCUUCCCAGUCAUGGGAGAAACAGCAAGGAAAAGAGGAAAUGUUGUCCCAGAUUGGAAAUCAUGCCAAAUUGGAAAUUUUGGUACUGGAAAGGUGGUUAUGGCUUGGAAAAGGGGUUAGAAUCCGUGGAAGUGGGGAAAAAAAUGAGAUGUGGCACUUGGGGACCAGGGUUGGGUGGCUCUGGAAGGGUUAAUUUCUGGAGAUUUUUCUGACUUUAUUGGUCCUAAAUCCUCCUUUUCCCCGAUCCCAAAUGCCUCUGUGAGGAGAAUCCCUGAUCCCGGCUCUCUCAUUCCCAAAUCCCUGAUCCUGGUUCUGUCAUUCCCAAAUCCCCACAAAUCCCCAGUCCCUGACCCCGGCUCUCUCAUUCCCAAAUCCCUGAUCCCAACUCUCUGAUCCCCUUUUCUUGACCCCGGCUCUCUCAUUCCCAAAUCCCCAUUCCCCAAUCCCAGCUCUCUCAUUCCCCAUUCCCACUCCCAGCUCUGGUCCCCUUCCCUGACCCAUCUCUCCCAUUCCCCAUUCCCACUCUCAGCUCUGGUCCUCACUCCCAGCUGACCCCGGCUCUCUCAUUCCCAAAUCCCCAUUCCCCAAUCCCAGCUCUCUCAUUCCCCAUUCCCACUUCCAGCUCUGGUCCCCUCCCCUGACCUGUCUCUCUCAUCCUCCAUUCCCAAUCCCAGCUCUCGUUCCCCACUCCCAGCUCCCAUUCCCCACUCCCAGCUCUCUCAUUCCCCAUCCCCACUCCCAUCCCCAUUCCCAUCCCAGCUCCCAUUCCCCAUUCCCCAUCCCCACUCCCAUUCCCACUCCCCACUCCCAUCUCUCCCACUCC